UACGGAGGAUGCGAGCGUUAUCCGGAUUUAUUGGGUUUAAAGGGUGCGCAGGCGGCACGGCAAGCCGGCGGUCAAAUCGCGGGGCUCAACCCCGCCCAGCCGUAGGAACUGCCGGGCUAGAGUGGGCGAGAAGUGCGCGGAAUGCGUGGUGUAGCGGUGAAAUGCGUAGAUAUAUGGAGGAACACCGGUGGCGAAAGCGGCUCUCUGGCCUGUAACUGACACUGAGGCUCGAAAGCGUGGGGAGCAAACAGG
rnacentral:rRNA from 1 species